GCCCCGUAAUCGGAAUGAGUACACUUUAAAUCCUUUAACAAGGAUCCAUUGGAGGGCAAGUCUGGUGCCAGCAGCCGCGGUAAUUCCAGCUCCAAUAGCGUAUAUUAAAGUUGUUGCGGUUAAAAAGCUCGUAGUUGGUUCUGCGUGCCGCGCUGUCGGUUCGCCGCCUGUCGGUGUAACUGGCAUGUUCGCGGCAUGUCCUGUCGGUGGUGAACAGGGUCCACGAUGCUGCAUUAGGCUUUUAAAGGCCGAUGUUAGCGUCGUGUGUACUUUUGUUGGCCGAUCUCUCCUACUUCGGUGCUCUUAAACGAGUGUCGAGGUAGGCCGACACGUUCACUUUGAACAAAUUAGAGUGCUUAAAGCAGGCUGAAAUAUCUGCCUGAAUAGUGGUGCAUGGAAUGAUAAAACAGGACCUCGGUUCUAUUUUGUUGGUUUUAGGAAUAUGAGGUAAUGAUCAAUGUGGACUGGCGGGGGCAUUCGUAUUGCGACGUUAGAGGUGAAAUUCUUGGAUCGUCGCAAGACGCACUAGAGCGAAAGCAUUUGCCAAGUAUGUCUUAAUUGAUCAAGAACGAAAGUUAGAGGUUCGAAGGCGAUUAGAUACCGCCCUAGUUCUAACCAUAAACGAUGCCAGCCAGCGAUCCGCCGAUGUUCCUUUAAUGACUCGGCGGGGAGCUUCUACCCGGGAAACCAAAGCUUUUGGGUUCCGGGGGAAGUAUGGUUGCAAAGCUGAAACUUAAAGGA
rnacentral:rRNA from 1 species